AUUACGUUCCUUUUAAUAGCUCCUUCCCAAGUGCUCAGUCAGGGACAUCUGCUCUGCCGCGGUUGCACCUUCAGGGAGGAAUAUUUUUAACACCGUGAUGCCACAAAAGGAAACUUCUGAAGGCUGGAUGAAAAUGGCCUCUGUGUUUGGAGUGCCUCAGGGCCCAGAUUUCAAGGUCCUGGAGGCCAGACCUUGUCUUAUAUUUCUCAGAAGUACUCACAGAACCUAACCUAACCCAGUUGGGAAAUUACACAUGAAUCCUUGUCUUAUUGCCAGCAUCCUUGCAGGAAGGCCUCAGGAGGAAAGGCUUCCUAGACAAGUGAAUGUCCAUGGGGAAUUCCCUGAGUCUCUACCUUCCCAGCAGUGCCCUGACACCUUUACUGCCAAAGCUGGCUUCGCUCAUCCUGGCCGAAGGGACUAAGGAGGGAGAUCUCGAAGUUUCCAAGCACACAUGGCUCUGAGCUUUCCUGACCGGAGCCCUACCACUCCCUCCUCCCUGACUGCACCGCUUGGUGGCCAAGUAACUCUUACGGAUUAAGGCCCAGAAGGUCAACCCUUCUCUUCUCCUGGCAUGGUGACUUCCUCUGGCCAGGAGACCGGAUGUGCUCCUGCUAAUAAUGGUCUGGAAGUGCUCUCCCUUGCUGGCCCAGACUCCCAGGAAGUCUUGAGAGAGGCAAUCAUCUGGAGAAGUUGGGAAACACUGAGCAGGCCUAUGCGUGAGCUAGUCCAGAUGACAGUCAACAAGUUGUGCUGAGGAUUCUCUAAGUGGGCUGUUAUAGCCCAGACCCCAGGACACAAGCUGAGAAAAGGAACAAAGGAAGCAAGCACUGAGUCCCCUGUGAUGUGUCUCCUUAAAAAUUGAUCAUCCAGGCCUAUUUGCCAGGUGGGAGUGAGGCUUUGCCUGCUGCUGGAUACAGAGUUUACUGAAGGGCCAGCUUUGUCCCCAGACUUACAUCCAGUAUUUGAAUGUCAGCCAACUCUGAGAGUGACUUGGACUGUUCCUAUCUCUGAGCUUUCAACUGUUACAGAGAACAGGAUUGGCUAUGUAACUUGUGGGGCCUAGUGCAAAAUGAAACUGUGGGGUUCCUUGUUUGAAAGUAUUGAGAAUUUCAAGAUGGUGAUAAGAAAGCAUUAAACCCAGCAUAUAUAGUAUCCAUCUAUGCACUAGGAUGUGUGUGACUGUAUGACUGCCCCUGUGAAGCCGGCCUUGCAAAUGGGUUACUUGAGAAAAGUGUGAGUGGGCUUUAGCCAGGAGGAUCUGUACCAGCAACUCCUCUCGUUAACCUACUAAUCUCGGGUCUUGAAGGCAGGGACUUUAUAUUCCUUGGGUGUCCUCCCUGGGACCCAGAGGUGCUCACCACUGACUAGGUGAGAGUUGGCCAUGGGGUAGAGACUGCCUUCCUGUGUGUAGUGUGGAUCUAGAAUGAGGGAGGCUUCAGGACCUGGAGCCUAGGUUGGAGGUUACAAGGCCGAGAAACCUCAAGGUGGCUGUUAGUCCCAGUGCCUUUCAAUUUAAAUUAAGGCAGUUUAACUUAUAUUCUAAAGGGGCUCCCUCACUACCAAGAAAGAGGGAGCUCAUUACCCCCUUAGUAAGAGUCUACAAAAUCUUUGGCAAAUGAGCCAUCAGAGGAGGUGGUUCAGAGCCAAUAUAGAAAUUUUAAAAGUACUUGA